CACCCUUCUCUUUUUUGAGCUAUCUUCCCUCUUAUCGUACUCUGCUCUUGAAAAAUUGGAAUCAAAAGACGAAGGUCAUGCUUCCUUCGAUGAUGAUGCCGACAUCAACGCACCAGCAAAAAAUAAAAAAUGUCGGUACUCUUUUUUCCUUCAUUCUCUCUCUCUCAGUGAUGAAUAGGUUAUUUGAAGCACUAACGACAUUCGGUAG
rnacentral:lncRNA from 1 species